CCCUUAGAUAUUCUGGGCCGCACACGCGCUACACUGGCAGGUUCAUCGAGCUUCAUGCCCUGAUCUGAGAAGAACGGGAAAUCUUUGAACACCUGCCGUGCUUGGGAUAGAUGUUUGCAAUUAUUCAUCUUCAACGAGGAUUGCCUUGUAAGCGCACGUCAUCAGCGUGCAUUGAAUACGACCCUGUAUUCUGUACACACCGCCCGUCGCUCCUACCGAUUGAAGUUUUCGGUGAAUUUACUGGAGAUCCCUUUUGAAGGUGGUUCGCCACUGGAAGAAGUAUUCAAAAGUAAAUGAAUCGAAUGCUUUAGAGGAAGGAGAAGUCGUAACA
rnacentral:rRNA from 1 species